rnacentral:rRNA from 1 species
GACGAACGCUGGCGGCGUGCUUAACACAUGCAAGUCGAGCGGUAAGGCCCUUUCGGGGGUACACGAGCGGCGAACGGGUGAGUAACACGUGGGUGACCUGCCCUCAGCUCUGGGAUAAGCCUGGGAAACCGGGUCUAAUACUGGAUAUGACUCCAUGACGCAUGUUGUGGGGUGGAAAGCCUUGUGCGGCUGAGGAUGGGCCCGCGGCCUAUCAGCUUGUUGGUGGGGUGANGGCCUACCAAGGCGACGACGGGUAGCCGGCCUGAGAGGGCGACCGGCCACACUGGGACUGAGACACGGCCCAGACCCCUACGGGAGGCAGCAGUGGGGAAUCUUGCGCAAUGGGCGAAAGCCUGACGCAGCGACGCCGCGUGAGGGAUGACGGCCUGG